rnacentral:rRNA from 1 species
UACGAAGGGGGCUAGCGUUGCUCGGAAUCAUUGGGCGUAAAGGGUGCGUAGGCGGCGCGGUAAGUCGGGUGUGAAAUCUCGGAGCUUAACUCCGAAACUGCAUUCGAUACUGCCGUGCUUGAGGACUGGAGAGGAGACUGGAAUUUACGGUGUAGCGGUGAAAUGCGUAGAUAUUGGGAGGAACACCAGUGGCGAAGGCGGUUACCUGGAGCUUUGCUGACGCUGAUGCGCGAAAGCGUGGGGAGCGAUCCGG